rnacentral:rRNA from 1 species
GAGUUUGAUCUUGGCUCAGGACGAACGCUGGCGGCGUGCUUAACACAUGCAAGUCACGGGGGGUAGCAAUACCAACCGGCGAACGGGUGCGUAACACGUGAGCAACCUACCGAUUUGAGGGGGAUAGCUGGCCUAACGGCCAGGUAAUACCGCAUACGCUUUUCUGGUCACCUGACUGGGAAAGGAAACCUCCGGGGGCAGAUCGAGGGGCUCGCGGCCUAUCAGCUAGUUGGCGAGGUCACGGCUCACCAAGGCGACGACGGGUAGCUGGUCUGAGAGGAUGGCCAGCCACAUUGGGACUGAGAAACGGCCCAGACUCCUACGGGAGGCAGCAGUGGGGAAUCAUUCACAAUGGGCGAAAGCCUGAUGGUGCGACGCCGCGUGAGGGAUGAAGGUCUUCGGAUUGUAAACCUC